UCCCAUAUUGUCUAGUGGUUAGGAUAUCUGGAUCUCACCCAGGAGGCCCGGGUUCAAUUCCCGGUAUGGGAA
rnacentral:tRNA from 1 species